AUUCCAGCUCCAAUAGCGUAUAUUAAAUUUGUUGCGGUUAAAAAGCUCGUAGUUGGAUUUCUGCUGAGGACGACCGGUCCGCCCUCUGGGUGAGUGUCUGGCUCGGCCUUGGCAUCUUCUUGGGGAACGUAACUGCACUUGACUGUGUGGGGCGUGGGGACGCAGGCCGUUUACUUUGAAAAAAUUAGAGUGUUCAAAGCAGGCCUACGCUUGAAUACAUUAGCAUGGAAUAAUGGAAUAGGACUUUGGUGCUAUUUUGUUGGUUUAUGGGACCGAAGUAAUGAUUAACAGGGACAGUUGGGGCCGUUUAUAUUUCGUUGUCAGAGGUGAAAUUCUUGGAUUUACGAAAGAUAAACUUCUGCGAAAGCAUUCGGCAAGGAUGUUUUCAUCA
rnacentral:rRNA from 1 species